rnacentral:misc_RNA from 1 species
AUUUUGAUAACAACUUAGCUUCAAGAUAGCAAUUAUCAGAGACAACGGGAACAAAAGCAGAAAAGGCAACUAUAAAAGACAAAAGAAGAAUCUAAAAGCGAGAGACUACCAAUUACAACCAUGGGAGAUAUCUGACUUCUUUUGGUAUUUGAAGCAGUGCAUAUGUCAACCUCACUAAUAUUUGUCGCAAUGCCUAGGGUCUGAUACAGGAAGGGUAGUGCAAGGGUUAGGGCCUGAUGUUUUUGGUUCACCUUCUCUCUCCGGAUUAGCCACCUCCAUCUUCUCAUCUACAAAGGUUGCAUUUGCAUGAAGCAGAGUUCUUGCUUCAGCUGCCAAAGAGCUAUUACUGAGGCUCAAGAUCAAGAUCAAGAUUGCUAUUUUAAGGGCUUGAAGAAGGACUUUCCCUUUUGAGUUCAUCGUUAAGAAAGAAAAUGGCAGGAGAGAAUAGGAGAGGAAAG